CCUACGGGGGGCAGCAGUGAGGAAUAUUGGUCAAUGGUCGGGAGACUGAACCAGCCAAGCCGCGUGAGGGAGGAAGGUACAGAGUAUCGUAAACCUCUUUUGUCAGGGAACAAAGGCGGGGACGUGUCCCCGGAUGAGUGUACCUGAAGAAAAAGCAUCGGCUAACUCCGUGCCAGCAGCCGCGGUAAUACGGAGGAUGCGAGCGUUAUCCGGAUUUAUUGGGUGUAAAGGGAGCGUAGACGGCAGCGCAAGUCUGGAGUGAAAUGCCGGGGCCCAACCCCGGAACUGCUUUGGAAACUGUGCAG
rnacentral:rRNA from 1 species